AGCGAACGCUGGCGGCAGGCUUAACACAUGCAAGUCGAGCGGGCACUUCGGUGUCAGCGGCAGACGGGUGAGUAACACGUGGGAACGUACCCUUUGGUUCGGAAUAACGCUGGGAAACUAGCGCUAAUACCGGAUACGCCCUUUUGGGGAAAGGCUUGCUGCCGAAGGAUCGGCCCGCGUCUGAUUAGCUAGUUGGUGGGGUAAUGGCCUACCAAGGCGACGAUCAGUAGCUGGUCUGAGAGGAUGAUCAGCCACACUGGGACUGAGACACGGCCCAGACUCCUACGGGAGGCAGCAGUGGGGAAUAUUGGACAAUGGGCGCAAGCCUGAUCCAGCCAUGCCGCGUGAGUGAUGAAGGCCUUAGGGUUGUAAAGCUCUUUUGUCCGGGACGAUAAUGACGGUACCCGAAGAAUAAGCCCCGGCUAACUUCGUG
rnacentral:rRNA from 1 species